UAUCCGACGGGUUGCAAACGUGCAGUCAAAAAAUUCGUUUGACUCUAUCUCUAUCUUUAUCGCAUCGUGAACGCGAGUGAAACUGUACUUGUUAACGCGCAUGCGUCCAGUAAUAUCGUAUGCCUUCGGAGUGGUAACAUGCGUCAUAUAUAUGACCACGUGACUAUUUUACUUUUGAAGUUGAAUAAUAUACAGUUUAUAUCGGAAUUUCUGGCUAACAUGGUUUAAUACAGAUGAGUGUAUCAACAUUAUCAAAAGCGAAAAUUUGGCGGUCCAGCAUCCAAUGGAAUAAUUUCUAUCAAGGAACAAUCGAGAGGAAGGAAGCGGGCUAUUUUUGUGGAACAGAUAGGUCAAGAAGUUGCAAGACGAGUGAUGGGGCAAGCGAAGACGCGCGCAUCAAACGAACGAGAGGAUUGGUAAAACGUUUCGGCUUUCUAUGUAGAUCAGUUGAGACAAAGUAGAAAGAAUCGCGUAUCUAUACGAACCAUCACACUGAAAAUACUUCUCGGGAAAUAGCUUUUCAGAAAUUGCUUUACGAUAUAGAAAUAAUCGUCAAACGAGCGAGCGACCAACCGACCAGUCGACCAAGGUUCGAAACAUGGCGAACGAAGCAUAAAAAAUUUUUCUAGAUAAUUUAAUCAUACGUAGAAAAGAAAAGCACAUAAAAAAAUUUCAUGAUUUUCGUUGAUAUUGAAUUCGCUAUUAAUUAAAAACAUAUAUUUUGUGACACGAAUUAAAUAAAUCAUUUAUUUAAAGGAAACAAAAAAAAAAAUUUUACUAGAUGAAGAACUAUAUGCAAGAAGAACUAUGUGCAAUUAUUACUAGUAACACUUAUGUUUAAAUAGAAGAGUAGACUAUACAACACGAAUUCGAACGACUCUAGCCGAACUUGGACGAAUUAGAAAAAGAGAGAUAUACUAUUUCUAAUUGAAAUAUUUAUUCGUUAUAAGCUCACAGUGUAACAUCAGCCACGAACACGAAUAUGUAUUUUGUAGAAUCAUAAAAUUCUAUUUUUAUUUUAUUAGAAACGAUGGCUAGCGAAAACUCAACCCAAAUUUAUUUAAAGAAAUUUAUUUUGUAUUGUGUGAAAUUAUUUGUUUCAUUGGAUUCAAGUUAGAUUCUAUCAACUGGUGGGGAUGAUUCAAGCAACGAACGAAUACUACGUAUGUUUGCCAAGGUCCAAGGUAAUAACUAACAUGAUCAAUUUCGAAACUCUUCAUUUAAUUAAAUUGAAAGCAAAAAACAGUUGCACUGCGACAAUUUUCAAUGUUAUGGAUAUAUUUAUUUAGAAAGCAAAUUGAAUAUCCGUUCGAUUCUUCGUUUCGCAUUCGGUAGCACAUAGUCUCAGCUUUUAUCCGAUAACAACUUCGUCCGAUAUCCAAUUUGGAUGGAUACACAGUUGCUUGGAAAGGUCACGUAUUCCGAACGACGCUGCCGCUGCGUAUUACCCGGAAUAAAAUUUGAUGGGGCUACGGUAAAGGACUGCGGAAUUUUCGAAUAUGACGAAUGGACCAGCGCGAUAGUUCCCUUGUAAUCUUUGGUCCUUCCUGUUUUAUGAACUGGUCGUUCGUCAUUCUACACGAUUCUUCGACUUACGAAUAUGACACCCGAGUUAAAAUGUAAUAUGACAAUUAUCUUGAAAAAGUAAUAUUUACUUUUGACAUUUCAUUGGGAGUACACAAUGUUCUCUAUAUAAGGUAUCAAAUUCUUUAUAUUUAUUCUGUUAUAAAUUGUUGAAAAGAAAUUCUGUGGGAUAGACAAAGAGGAAAUUUUCUUGUUUCAUUUAGUAAAGUGGUUCUCAAUCUGUAAAUUGAUUUUAUAAAGAGAUCAUUUUAAUAAUUAAUAUCAUUACUUUUAAUAAUACUUUUAAUAAUAUUUUAAUAAUAUUUUUAAACUAAAAAUAGUAGAACUAGUUAUUCUACGAUGGAAAUGAUCCUCUUUGUCAAUUGAGAAAUUAUACAUGUUCUAUUUUUAACAGUGUUAAAACGGAUUUUCAGAUGAUCGAAUGGCAUGUAAUUAUUUGAAUCUAAAUAUUUCAAAACUCGAUCUUUUUUUAUUUAAAUAUUCACCUUUCAUCUUCAAAAAAAUGAAAUUCACGAAAUUCAACACGUGCAAUAUAUUCCCCUUGAAACGUGUCCUCGAGUCAAGAAUCGCAUCAGUGUUCCUAUCACGUAAGUCAACAACAAUGAACAAAAAAAAACGAGAAAAAUAUAAUCAAGAUUCGAUUCUACUCACACCAGUAAGCGGAUAUAUCGUAUUGCAAUCUCGAAAAUCGACAAAGAAAGAAGUAAAAGAAAAGGGAGACAUCGUGUCAUUCGGUAAAAAAAGAAAAAAAAAAGGAGAAAAGAAAACUACGAUGUGCUCGGUCUCCAAUACAAAAUGACAUGGCGGUUGCAUUGGGCAACAGUGUCGAAAUUGCAGGAGCUUCGCUUCCGCUGGCUAGAGAUUGGGCUGGGUCUCUCUCCCGACAAAGAGCACACCCUGUACACGUCGGUACAGAGGAGUUUCGCAUUGAUCGGCGGCCAGAAGAACAGCCUUGCUCUGAUUGGCUAUCCCAGACCAUGCGUCCUUGUCAUGUCUAUGGUUUUUUGACAAGGUAGGAAGGUGGAGAACCUCACUUCCGAGCCGUCUAGCUGGCUUCCGCUGGUUGAACAGCAACCGUGAGCCCGGCCAAAACGAUCGACGAGGAGGGAGUUAUUCUUUAAGUUAGAAGAAGAUAAUAAAUACACGGCCAAAAGGAAAAGAGGAAGAUGGCAAUAUGAGAAGUAAGAGUAGUGGGAGGAAUAAGGAUGGAUGCUGUUUCAGCCUUGCUCUGAAACAGGCGGUGAGACGAAGAUAUAUAGUAAACAAAAUGGAAAAUAGGUGGACCAUUAUCAUGCGUAAGUUGCGUACCAGAUGAUUGAAUUGCUUUUAAAGAAAAAGAAAGAAGAAAAUAUUUCGAUUUCUCUUGAAAUUCAUUCUUAUCACCCAUUCUUUUACGAACAGCUGCUCAGCUGCUCUUUCAUUGGUUCUUUUUUUUCUUUAAGUUAUUA